CUGAACCAGCCAAGUAGCGUGAAGGAUGACUGCCCUAUGGGUUGUAAACUUCUUUUAUAAAGGAAUAAAUUCGGGUAUGUAUACCCGUUUGCAUGUACUUUAUGAAUAAGGAUCGGCUAACUCCGUGCCUGCAGCCGCGGUAAUACGGAGGAUCCGAGCGUUAUCCGGAUUUAUUGGGUUUAAAGGGAGCGUAGAUGGAUGUUUAAGUCAGUUGUGAAAGUUUGCGG
rnacentral:rRNA from 1 species